rnacentral:rRNA from 1 species
UUAUGUUGCCAGCGCGUAAUGGCGGGGACUCCUGAGAGACUGCCGGGGUCAACUUGGAGGAAGGUGGGGACGACGCCAAGUCAUCAUGCCCCUUAUGUCCAGGGCUUCACACAUGCUACAAUGGCCGGUACAGAGGGCUGCGAUACCGUGAGGUGGAGCGAAUCCCUUAAAGCCGGUCUCAGUUCGGAUCGGGGUCUGCAACUCGACCCCGUGAAGUGGAGUCGCUAGUAAUCGCUAGAUCAGCAACGCUGCGGUGAAUACGUUCUCACGGGCCUUGUACACACCGCCCGUCUACGUCAUGAAAAGUCGG